rnacentral:rRNA from 1 species
CCUACGGGGGGCUGCAGUGAGGAAUAUUGGUCAAUGGUCGGGAGACUGAACCAGCCAAGCCGCGUGAGGGAUGAAGGUACAGAGUAUCGUAAACCUCUUUUGUCAGGGAACAAAGGCGGGGACGCGUCCCCGGCUGCGUGUACCUUAAGAAAAAGCAUCGGCUAACUCCGUGCCAGCAGCCGCGGUAAACCGGAGGAUGCGAGCGUUAUCCGGAUUUAUUGGGUUUAAAGGGUGGGCAGGCGGUCUGUUAAGUCCGCGGUAAAAGCCCGGGGCUCAACCCCGGCCCGCCGUUGAAACUGGCAGUCUCGAGUUGGAGAGAAGUAUGCGGAAUGCGCGGUGUAGCGGUGAAAUGCAUAGAUAUCGCGCAGAACUCCGAUUGCGAAGGCAGCAUGCCGGCUCCAAACUGACGCUGAGGCACGAAAGCGUGGGUAUCGAACAGGAUUAGAUACCCUAGUAGUC